UAUUGCCAAUAAAGAUAUCGCUUGUGUUGUGACUUGCAAAAAGUUUAAAGAAAUAUGUUUAUAUUCGGAUAGUAAAGAUGAUGGAGCAACUCACUCAGGUUAUACCAAGCAACACGAGGUCAAGGGCGGAGGGGGAGGACCAUACACCUCUUCCCCCCACCUCUCCCUUCACCUUUAUGUCAACCAAUGCACCACUGGUAAAUGUUGUAAUCAAGUAAAAUACAAAUUUAAUUUGUUAUAAAAGUUUUGAUAAAAAGUGAAUAUAAAGAUAAAAAUAUGAAUAUAAAAAUAAAACUUUGAUUUUAGUUUAAAGAAAUAUGUAUUUUUGGAUAUUUAAAAUGGUGGAGCAGCUCCCACUCUGGUUAUACCAAGCGACAUGAGUUUUAGCGUGACGUAAGGACGACAAAAUAUCAAACGAUCAAAAACUUUAACUAUUUGUCAGAAGAAAGAACAUUUUGCCGCUGAAUUCAACUCCGCUGAAAAGAUUGAUCGGGAGGCAGCAGCCGUCUAUUGCGAAAGAAAAGUGGAAGCAAGAAGAUUUACGCCGUUUAUCAACACUGGUUUUAGAUUGACAGUUAGACGUAGAUUUAAGGUUAUUUAAUUUUAUGAAUAUCGGGAAAUGAUCGCUUAUAUCUGCCAUAAAUAUACCGGUUUCGAAUGUCGUUUCUAAAUAAUUACUAAUUAAAAUAUUGUCUAUUGCUGUUGCCGAAGUUUUGUUACACACGUUAGUUUAUUAAUAGUUGACAAGACAUUAAAUUUAAAUAGCAUAUCAAAAAAAGAUUUUAUUUUUGGAAACUUAGAGUUAGAUAAAGCAUCAAGAUUUAUGUCACCAGUAAUAUAUAAUGUUUUAUUUUCUUUAUUUAUUUUCAUAAUCGUAUUUUUGAUAAAAGUUCCGAAGUUUUUUAUUU